UUCCCAACAACGAACCCGAUCCGGCACAUGUGCAAAGAGUCGGCCACUCGUGCGGUUCCCGACAGAAGGCGCGAGUCGACGCACCGGCGCAAGAUAGAACGGAACCUCCGUUCUCUUCGCCGCAAUCCCACAGCACCACACUAUUUCGGAUUUUCCCUCUUUAAAACGCAAUCGCCUGGCAUCCAAACGCCAUUCCAGAUCUCAAUCCAUUCAUUCCAUUUCGCUAUCCAUUCCCGUAUAGCCGAUGGAAGGAACCCUAGAAAACAACGCUUCUAGUAAUUCUCCUUCUCUCGCGGCUCCUCUGAUCUUGCUUUUCGUCUUCGCUCUGGAACUCAUCUCGAUGUUUCUCGAACGCCACAAUAAGAGAGGGUUGAAGAGUGCUGAAGAAGUGAAGUUGCAACAGGAAAUAAAGGAACUUUUGAAAGAAGCGAGCUCCUUAUCUACGCCAUCGACAUUUGCUCAAGCUGCAAAACUUAGAAGGGCGGCAGCAGCCAAGGAGAAGGAGCUUUUAAAAAUACAGGAGUCGCACAAUAAGGGAAAAAAAGGGUCCAAUGAUCUGUAUUUGCAAGCCCUGGGGAGUUUGAAGGUAGUGACAUAUCUUGGUCUCACCUGGUGGUUUUGGGGUGUUCCUCUCGCUGCCAUUCCUCAGCAACUUCUGCAACCUUUUGGGAAGGCAUUGUCAUGGAGAGCUGGAGAAUCUAUACCAGGCUAUGUCAUGAUUGGAGUUAUACCUUGGUUAGUAUUGACGGCACGAGUGAGCAAGUUCCUUUGUCAGAGGCUACCAAAAUCCCUGCAUUUCUUCCACUCAUAGACCUUGGAGAUCUAUGAACUGCAUUAGUAAUCAGUAAUCGGCGACAUACCUAUUAGCCAUAGAUGGGAGAGUGUGAUAGAUGAUGCCCGGGCACUUGGAAAUUACUUAAGAAAUUGCAUUUGCGCCCUUCAUCAGGUAGGCCCUGCGGAUUUGCCAGUAAUUGAGUCAAGAAUGCUGCUAUUUUCAGUCAUUGCGUCAUCCUGUUCAUCCACGAGAUCUGGAGAGUUUGUGCUUUUAUUCUUUUGGACUCAUCUUUUCUAGGUCCUGGUUUACAUAUAAGAAUUGCAUCACAGCCGUCCAAUUUUAACCUUUAUUUGUUCAUUAUCUACUGUGGGCGGCAGGUCUUCUAUCCUGUCCAUUUGCGAGCUAAUUGAUCAGAUGACUCAUCAAUAGAUGUGUGAUAGUGGGAUUAGGUACUA